rnacentral:rRNA from 1 species
UCGGAAUUGAUAAGCGCUGAAAGCAUCUAAGCGCGAAGCGAGCCCUGAGAUGAGUCUUCCCUGACAGUUUAACUGUCCUAAAGGGUUGUUCGAGACUAGAACGUUGAUAGGCAGGGUGUGUAAGCGUUGUGAGGCGUUGAGCUAACCUGUACUAAUUGCCCGUGAGGCUUAACCAUACAACACCCAAGGGGUUUUGUA